GGGGCAUUAGCUCAGGUGGUGAGAGCGCGGUCCUGAUAAGACCGAGGUCUGUGGUUCGAGUCCACAAUGCCCCACCG
rnacentral:tRNA from 2 species